rnacentral:rRNA from 1 species
UAACGCUGGCGGCGUGCCUAAUACAUGCAAGUCGAGCGAAUGACGAGAAGCUUGCUUCUCUGAUUUAGCGGCGGACGGGUGAGUAACACGUGGGCAACCUGCCCUACAGAUCGGGAUAACUCAGGGAAACCUGGGCUAAUACCGGAUAAUCCUUCGAAUCACAUGUUUUGAAGUUGAAAGGCGCUUCGGCGUCACUGUAGGAUGGGCCCGCGGUGCAUUAGCUAGUUGGUGGGGUAACGGCCUACCAAGGCAACGAUGCAUAGCCGACCUGAGAGGGUGAUCGGCCACAUUGGGACUGAGACACGGCCCAAACUCCUACGGGAGGCAGCAGUAGGGAAUCUUCCACAAUGGACGAAAGUCUGAUGGAGCAACGCCGCGUGAGUGAUGAAGGUUUUCGGAUCGUAAAACUCUGUUGUAAGGGAAGAACAAGUACGUUAGGAAAUGAACGUACCUUGACGGUACCUUAUUAGAAAGCCACGGCUAACUACGUGCCAGCAGCCGCGGUAAUACGUAGGUGGCAAGCGUUGUCCGGAUUUAUUGGGCGUAAAGCGCGCGCAGGUGGUUUCUUAAGUCUGAUGUGAAAGCCCACGGCUCAACCGUGGAGGGUCAUUGGAAACUGGGGAACUUGAGUGCAGAAGAGGAUAGUGGAAUUCCAAGUGUAGCGGUGAAAUGCGUAGAGAUUUGGAGGAACACCAGUGGCGAAGGCGACUGUCUGGUCUGUAACUGACACUGAGGCGCGAAAGCGUGGGGAGCAAACAGGAUUAGAUACCCUGGUAGUCCACGCCGUAAACGAUGAGUGCUAAGUGUUAGGGGGUUUCCGCCCCUUAGUGCUGCAGCUAACGCAUUAAGCACUCCGCCUGGGGAGUACGACCGCAAGGUUGAAACUCAAGGAAUUGACGGGGGCCCGCACAAGCGGUGGAGCAUGUGGGUUUAAUUCGAAGCAACGCGAGAACCUUACCAGUCUUGACAUCCCAUGACCGUUCUAGAGAUAGGAUUUUCCCUUCGGGGACAUUGGUGACAGUUGUGCAUGAUGUCGUCAGCUCGUGUCGUGAGAUGUUGGGGUAGUCCCGCACGAGCGCACCUUAUUCUUAGUGCAUCAUUUAGUU